rnacentral:rRNA from 1 species
UGUAAGCGUAUACCAAAGUUGUUGCAGUUAAAACGCUCGUAGUCGGAAUUUGGCAGUUCCGGAAGUGUGCACGUCGUGUGCGCACUUUGCGGGGACUGCUUUUGUGGUCUUGCGUAGGAUGAGGCACUUUCAUUAGUGAACGUCCUCACGCAACCACUCUUUACUGUGAGAAGAUCAGAGUGCUCAAAGCAGGCAUUUGCCGUGAAUGUAUUAGCAUGGAAUAAUAGAAUAGGACUCGGUUCUAUUUUGUUGGUUUGUUGGGACUGAGUAAUGAUUAAGAGGGACAGUUGGGGGCAUUUGUAUUCCGGCGCUAGAGGUGAAAUUCUUAGAUUGCCGGAAGACAAACUGCUGCGAAAGCGUCUGCCAAGGAUGUUUUCAUUGA